rfam:Myxococcales bacterium SG8_38_1 WOR_8-12_42349, whole genome shotgun sequence.
GAAGUCCCCCAUGAGGAAGGCGUAGCGAACCACCUCAGCCCCGAGUCAUGCGCCGGGGGCCGCGAGGUCUCGGGCGAAGCGUUGACAGGGGGUAUGCGGGCCGGGCUAUGGAGCCGCGAAAAGACAUCCAUCGGGGUGCCGACGCUCUCGCAUCAGCGGAAGGCAACACGGUGCAUCGCGCCAGCGCGAGUGGUGCGCCGCCCCCGCGUGGUCGAAGAACC